AUCGCGGUUAUCUGCAAAACGACGACCAGAGAGGUAAGUCAAGAUAAAAAAAAACUACGCGAACUUUGAUUCCUCAAUAAGUAAGUAUACACACGUAUACAACUCAAUUAUUAUUAUUAUUAUUAUUAUUAUUAUUAUUAUUAUUAUUAUUAUUAUUAUUAUUAUUAUUAUUAUUAUUAUUAUUAUUAUUUGUUUUUAUGUUUCAUCCUCCAAAUUUACAUACCUUGCCGUCAUCGGGAAGAGCGAGAGCAGUAGAGAGAAGUGAAUAACCGGGUAUCAGUAAUGCAUGCUCAUUGGUUCAUUCCACAUGAAUGAGGAGAGGCGUCCGCAGAUAAGAAGACUCGAUGUGACGAGAAAGCAGGAGUCCGCUCGCUACACGCAAGUGUGGCCGAUGCAGAUGGGGUCGUAAGAUUUGUAACUUAGUGAAAUUUUACAAAUUUUAAUUUUCGUCUCCAACUAAAAAAAAUUUAGAAACAAGGCAUAAAAUUUAUUCAACUUAGUGAACAAUAUUUAUUACCUAAAUUAAUUAUGAAACAAAUGUUGUAGCCUUGUAGGCUAUAUAAA